GUGAAAGUGAACACAAAGAAUUACAUGGAAGAAAUUCUAAAACUGAUCAUAUAGCCACUGGAUGCUGGUCUUCACUGUCAAUCAUAGCUGAUGUUUCCAACAAGACUCUGCUCCAUCACAGAAAGCCGAAGUUAUCCAGAGGUGCUAAUGCGGCUUGUUCUAGUGUAAGGAAACAAAAAAUAAUUGUACGAACUUACCUGUUAAGACUCCCGCCAUGUUUGUAAUCUCAUCUCAGUGACGUUUUGGACCAUUGUGAAGGAAUGGCGACAAUAGAGUUGUUUUAUUAUUAAUAUUGAUCAUAACAAGGGAAUAAUACUAAUUGAUAUAUAACAUCAGUUUUAUUAAGAAAUUUCUAUUACAAGAUUUGUUAUACAGUCGUAAUAUGCUAAUGAGUAGUCGAAUAAAAGGAGGUGCUGUGGAAUGGCGUGGUGUGUUCUCCUCAUUGAUUGUCUUUACGUCCUGUCGCCGUCCUGGACAGAUUCGUUGGUAGCCGCUGUUGUGUGUUGUCUGUGGUGGAUAUUGUCAGCCAAGCUGGACUGUUGUGGUUUUGUGAAGAUUGUGUUUUUAUGUUUUGGAAGUGUCUUCUGUUAAAAAGUUUUGCUGUAAGAGAGGAGAACAUUCUUAAUUAUUUUCGUCUAACAAGUUGUCAGUUAGUAGUUUGGUUAAAUAAAAAAAAGUUAUUUACUUGUUUACUUACCUGUUUAUUUAAUGUCGUCAUUGCAAGAGAUAGUAAGUUUUAUCCUGGAAUGGUUGGAGAAUUGGGAGUUAGGUAUUUAUGUAAAAUUCGACUGGAAACGAAGAAAUGCUGGUGAGGGACUCUGGGGUCCGACCUUUGGCAGGGAGGCAGAAUGUGUCUUCCUCGCACUAGUAAAAAUGGUCUGCUGUAUUUUCAGAUCUGAAUUCAUUAGAUUACAAUAUAUGGUAAAGAGAGAGGAGUUAAAGUGAAUGCAAGACCCUUCAGCAGUGUCAAUGAUGUAAAGAGAGAGGAGUUAAAGUGAAUGCAAGACCCUUCAGCAGUGUCAAUGAUGUAAAGA
rnacentral:lncRNA from 1 species